UCCCUCUUCACUCUCUCUCUUGGUCUCUCACUCCGUGUCCCUUUCUGCCCCCCUCACGCUCUCACUUCACUCCUCAUCCCUCCGUCCACUGUUGUCCGUUUCACUGUGUUGUGUGUGUGUGGGCAAGGAAGACUGACAUGGACUGUGUGGCUCUUUUUAUGCUCCUUUUCCUUCCCGGUCUUCAUUGGACAGCUGCUGAGGAGACUAGCUGGACUUACACUGGCAUGGUGGGUCAGUCUGAGUGGUCGGAACAUUUCCCCGAGUGUGGUGGUACUUCUCAGUCUCCUGUUGAUGUGGUGACCACCCAAACUAAAUAUGACCCCGCUCUGACUCCCCUCACCCCGCUGGGCUACAGUCAGCACGGCAACCAACCAUUCACGCUGUACAAUAAUGGACACACAGCUGUGAUCGAGCUGCCGGACUGGAUGAGCCUGGGUGGGCUUCCCUGGCUCUUCUCAGCCGUACAAAUGCACCUUCACUGGGGCAACGGCGGCCCGAGUUACGGGGGCAGUGAACACACCAUCAACGGCCAAAGUGCAGAGGCAGAGCUCCACGUGCUGCACUACAACUCUGAGCUCUACCCCAACAUGUCUGCUGCUAUGACGCAAAGGGACGGCCUAGCUGUCCUAGGAAUUCUCAUUGUGACAGGUGAGGAGACCAACCCGGCAUUUAACAACAUCAUCAACUACCUGAGCCGCAUCAGACAUGCAAACCAGAAAGUGUUCAUACCAGCCUUUGACGUGCAGUCUCUGCUCCCUGAGGAUUUAGGACGCUAUUAUCGCUACAAUGGCUCCCUGACGACACCACCCUGCUACCAGAGCGUAAUCUGGUCGCUGUUCAAUGAGAGGGUUCAAAUCUCCAAGGCUCAGUUGCUGAAGAUGGAGACCAUAUUGUUCUCCAGCAAAGCUGGAGAUCCAGACCGGAUGCUGCUGCAAGACAACUACCGCGCCACGCAGCCGCUCAACCAUAGGGCCGUCUUUGCCUCCUUCACUGCAGAGUCAGGCAAGGAGCUCACUUCGGGUGAGGUCACCGCCAUCGUGAUAGGCAUAAUGUGCGGCUGUGUAGGCCUGGCCGUCAUUGUCCGCUUCAUCAUCAAGACCAUACGAUUUUUCACUCUCCUCCACCAUGAAACAGUUGCUGUAAACAGGUGGCACUCAUCCCUGACAAGGACACGACUAGCGCUUAUUAACUGUGUUGUUUGUAACAUCCCCUUUUGGAUUGAGAAAUGUAUUUCAGCGUUCUUCUAAAAUGUGCGGAAUUAAACAAUCUACCGAGGAAACUGCGAAUACCGUAUAAUCGUGACAAUUAGAUCCCAACCAUACAUGGGCAUGAAUGAAAUUUCUGGUGAUUUAGGCUACUAACCAUUCAAUAGCUCUGUCUGUCUGAUUUCCGGGGACUGUACCUUUUGGUGCACAACAACAACGCCAACAACAAGAAGAGCCCACUUGCCUCGAUUCAACCGUUGCAGAUUACCAUUACCUGGAUGAUGGAGAAUAUACACAGACAUAAAGAAAUAAACAACCUUUAGCAAGCACAUCGUUAUUUAUUUUUGAUAUUGUGACAGUAAGUUAAAAAUAACUUUUUAUUUUUUACAUUUAUAAUGAUAUUAUAUUAUAUUAUCAAUCCAUCCAUUUUCUGUACCGCUUUAUCCUCACAAGGGUCGCGGGCAUGCUGGAGCCUAUCCCAGCUAUCUUCGGGCGAGAGGCGGGGUACACCCUGAAAUGGUCGCCAGCCAAUCGCAGGGCACAUAUAACCAAACAACCAUUCGUGCGCACAUUCACACCUACGGCCAAUUUAGAGUCUUCAAUUAACUUACCAUGCAUGGUUUUGGGAUGUUGGAGGAAACCGGAGUGCCCAGAGAAAACCCACACAGGCACGGGGCCAAAAUGCAAACUCCACACAGGCAGGGCCGGGAUUUGAACCCAGGUCCUCGGAAUUUUGAGGCAGAUGUGCUAAUCAGUUGUCCACCACAGUGUUGAUGGUGCACUGCUUCCCCCUCCUGAGACACCAGAUGGUGGACCAGAAUUUCCACGAAGCCAUCCGGAAGUCUUUCUCCAUGGCCUCACCGAACUCCUCCCAUACCCGAGUUUUUGCUUCAGCGACCACCAAAGCUGCAUUCAGCUUGGCCAGCCGGUACCCAUCAGCUGCCUCAGGAGUCCCACAGGCCAAAAAGGCCCGAUAGGACUCCUUCAGCUUGACGGCAUCCCUCACCGCUGGUGUCCACCAACGGGUUCAGGGAUUGCCGCCACGACAGGCACCGACCACAGCUCCGGUCGGCCGCCUCAGCAAUGGAGGCGCAGAACAUGGUCCACUCGGACUCUAUGUCCCCCUCCUCCCCCGGAACACGAGCAAAGUUCUGUUGGAGGUGAGAGUUGAAACUCCCUCUGACAGGGGAUUCUUCCAGACGUUCCCAGCAGACCCUCACAAUACGUUUGGGCCUGCCACGUCGGACCGGCAUCUUACCCCAGCAUCGGAGCAAACUCACCACCAGGUGGUGAUCAGUUGACAGCUCCGGCCCGCACUUCACCCGAGUGUCCAAGACAUGCGGCCGCAAGUCCGAUGACACGACCACAAAGUCGAUCAUCGAACUGCGACCUAUGGUGUCCCGGUGCCAAGUGCACAUGUGGACACCCUUAUGCUAGAACAUGGUGUUCGUUAUGGACAAUCCCUAAUGAGCACAGAAGUCCAAUAACAGAACACCGCUCAGGUUCUGAUCGGGGGAGCCGUUCCUCCCAAUCACGCCCUUCCAGGUCUCACUGUCAUUGCCCACGUGAGCAUUGAAGUCCCCCAGCAGAACGAUGGAGUCCCCAGAAAAAGAAAAAUAGGACUUCAUUUUCAUAACCAUUUUUUUUCUCUAAAAAAUAAAAAUGGUUUGUAAUAUUAUAACUUUUCUUUCUCAAAAAUAGGUAUCUUUUAUAAUUCCUACGGCAUUCAUAGGCCCACAUGGUAGUUAUGUUUUUUGGGCAUUUUUUUUUAUGUGACAAUUUCUCCUUUGUAAGGGGUCCCUGGACCCAAAACGUUGAGUAGCUCUAAAGUGCUUGGCUCCUAGGUGAAACUCAGGAUGAACAUUGAUGGGGACAGUUAACGAUCAAUUAAACAAUUAAUAUAUAUAUUUAAAUAUUACAUUGCACUUUUUGCUACUUUGAUUAAGUACAGUAUUUAUCGAAAACCGAGGCGUGGUGAGCAAAGAAUCUUGGCAUGUGUGCUUCCGCAAAGUAUAGCACUGUGAAAAAAAUGAAUGAUUUAAAAUUGUAAUUAGAUGCGGCCUAAAUUGGGACACUGCUUGAAUUUGACUAAAUUGUUAUUCGAGGAAGCGUUCUCCUCGCAAGCGCAAUACACAAAAUAAAGGUUGACAUUGGUAUAAAUAUAGAAAACAACAGUGAAUAUAAGUGAGUGGUCAACAACAUAUGUAUUGAAUGGUUAUUCAUGCAAGUGUUAUUUACUCAUGCCGUUUAUUUAGUGGUUGUAUAACGGUGCUAUCCACAACGGACGUUUGACCUGUCAAAGCUGGAGCACGAGGAAUCUCUCACACUAAUGACUGCUGCAUUCCAUUCAACUAAGCUACUUUCAGCACUUUGAUAGUGUGCAUUUCACAGACAUUGUCGUUUACACCUGCGCCAAACCCCCUAAAAAAAAACGCGUAAUGGGCUGUACGAUCCAACAAAUGCUAAUGUGGGAUGAAAUUCUUUGCGUUGGUUGGGCUCUAAUAAAUAAAUUCAGUCAAUUUGUAAUCUGCUUGGUGGGAUUUAACCAUGAAAGUGAAAAACAAGAGAAAGUGAUCCCGAGAUUAGCACUGGAGAUAAUCCGAUCCUCUUUGCUCUGCUGCAAUAACACCACUCUUGUCCAAUACUUAUGACUUGCUCUCCUAAUUAUUGCUUUGAAUGAAAACAAGCGGCGUGAUUCCUUUGUACGUGCCCCCAUGGUGCUUGUGGAGGAUUUAAUCAAAAUUGCUUCAGAAGCUGAUUGUACCUUUACUCUUUUGUCAUAAGUUAUCCCCAAAGUGCCCUUGGAGUUAAUUGUACUUCAAAUACAACACUGACUCACUCUUCAGCCUUAAAUGUACUGACAAUCCUUGGGAACUACUGUCCUUCAGAUAACUAAAUCUCCCUAUAUGACAAAAUAUCACCUACGAUCUCAUACAAUCAAUUGUGACUUAUAAUACUUCGAUCAAAUCAAUGAUUUUGCACUGUGUUUUUUGUGAUUGUGUUUUCUGAUCUCAUGACAGCUCUACCUCUAGCUGGGACGUCCUUACCAAUAACCGGCCAGCUCAGAUGCAAAGGAUGAAAGAGCCAGAGAAAGCGAUAGAGAAACAACAAGAGAUGGUUCUCAACUCCACUUCUCAAGCAGAAAAGAGAGAAGAGCGUCUGUCGCCAC